GCUUUUAUAGUUUAAUAAAAACAUUGGUCUUGUAAGUCAAAAUUAGAUAAUUCUUAAGGGCU
rnacentral:tRNA from 1 species